ACUCCUACGGGAGGCAGCAGUGGGGAAUAUUGCACAAUGGGCGCAAGCCUGAUGCAGCCAUGCCGCGUGUGUGAAGAAGGCCUUCGGGUUGUAAAGCACUUUCAGUCGUGAGGAAGGUAGUGUAGUUAAUAGCUGCAUUAUUUGUACGUUAGCGACAGAAGAAGCACCGGCUAACUCCGUGCCAGCAGCCGCGGUAAUACGGAGGGGUGCGAGCGUUAAUCGGAAUUACUGGGCGUAAAGCGCAUGCAGGUGGUUUGUUAAGUCAGAUGUGAAAGCCCGGGGCUCAACCUCGGAAUAGCAUUUGAAACUGGCAGACUAGAGUACUGUAGAGGGGGUAGAAUUUCAGGUGUAGCGGUGAAAUGCGUAGAGAUCUGAAGGAAUACCGGUGGCGAAGGCGGCCCCCUGGACAGAUACUGACACUCAGAUGCGAAAGCGUGGGGAGCAAACAGGAUUAGAUACCCUGGUA
rnacentral:rRNA from 1 species